rnacentral:rRNA from 1 species
CCGUCGCACCUACCGAUUGAAUGUUUCGGUGAAGAUUCCGGACUGUGGCUCGCGUGCUUCACGGCGCUCUUGCCGUGGGAAGUUAUCUAAACCUCAACAUUUAGAGGAAGGUGAAGUCGUAACAAGGUUUCCGUAGUGAACCUGCGGAAGGAUCAUUA